ensembl:lncRNA
GUAAUUUUUAGACGCAUCAUCCAUGUUGAAUCAAUUUUAAAAAUGUUUACUCAGAAGAAAUUACGUCACUACCAAAGUUGACCAAUCACUGAUAAUACUUCGGUUACUAGACUUCAAAUGUCUCCAAGAAAAUGUUUGUAUAAAAACACUCAAGCAGACAAAACAUCACUAUAGAAGCACUUACAGAUGGGUCACGGUUGCGAUGAAGGUCUCACCCCUCAUUCACACUUAACUCCGGAUUUACACCGGGUGCUACUCCGUCCUCCACACAAUGUCAUACCCCACCGUGAGCAUUUCAAAAGCCAAGCGCUGCAAAGCAGCUGUACGAGAUCAGGAGAUCAACAAACAACAAUGAACUACUUUGCCUGUCCGACGUUGACUUUUGUUUGUGUAUUUUUUCCUUGAUUUUGGGGGUUCUACCAUGAAGUUCUUCUAUAGUUCCAGAAUUGCAAAAAAUAUUGUUUUGUUAAUAAAUGUCCUCUGUUCUGCCUGAGCCUGUGUCCUGCAACAUCCUUCAAUGUGACAGAAAGACCGACCACAUCAAGGACACAGCGAGUGAACGAAGGACACAGGAGACAGGGGGGUGAAGCUUGCACGUCCACUGUUCCGGCACGCCCACCACCUCGGAUGGAUACAAUUCACUUUCUAUGGAUAGCGUCAAGGCGUCGUUGACGUUUGUUCAAAGCUUCUCAGGAAGUUGGCACAGCCGUAUGAGCGGUUGCAGCACAUCAAGAACGGUCAAGAAGUUGUGCCACGGUC